rnacentral:rRNA from 1 species
AAGAAUCUUCCGCAAUGGACGAAAGUCUGACGGAGCGACGCCGCGUGUGUGAUGAAGGCGGACACGUUGUAAAGCACUUUUCCUGGGGAAGAAUAAGGUGAGGAGGUAAUGCCUCAUCGAUGACACGAACUAGGGAAUAAGCCCCGGCUAAUUACGUGCCAGCAGCCGCGGUAACACGUAAGGGGCAAGCGUUGUUCGGAAUUAUUGGGCGUAAAGGGCGAGUAGGCGGCCUGGUAAGUCUGGUGUG